rnacentral:lncRNA from 1 species
AAAAGAAAGAGUGCUUGAGUCCUCUUUUUAAAUAUAUGCAGCAGCCGGUGCUACAAAAAACAUUCCAUUUCCACAAGAGAUUCAAAGCAAAGAAUAGAAACAAGGUAUAUCGUAUUGCUCCGUUUUUUGUUUUGUUAUCUCUCACUUUCUCUCUUUCUUUCUUUCCAGAGAAAUCUGUGCUGGCCUUUUGGAGAUAAGAGUAGAGCACUACUUGAACUACAAGAGCUAAAGCGAAAUCGAAGAAAAAGAAUGGAAGAGGGAUCGUUGAUCAAGACGAGGA